CCAUACAAUCCUUAUCCAACACAUGGAACAUUCCUGGGAUUUCACUGGCCACUUUCCCCUAACACAGUUAGGUUGCAACUGAGUUUCCACUAAGACAGGAAUCUAAAGGGGAAGAUAAGGGGAGAUAAAGUGGACACACCGGAUGAAAAAAAAAAUCUCUUAAUCACCCAGAGCAGCAUGGAACAGAAAAGACAGCUAAAGGGAUAUCUAGAAAUUAAUUAAUUACUUCUUUCAAAGAAAAUAAAGAACUAUAACCAAAACCCACUGGAUACACCUAAACUGUGUUAGGGGAAAGUGGCCAGUGAAAUCCCAGGAAUGUUCCAUGUGUUGGAUAAGGAUUGUGUGGAUGAACUUUGUUGCCCUUGGUGGACUUACCCUUCUCAUCAGAUAAGUGAUCUUGCAAACUCUCCAGGCUUCUCACACUCCUGCCUCCUUACACACCUUUCUCAUUCAAAAAUAUUUGUAGAUCAGACUCUGUGCGUUUACAGGUAUUAAUGAGACAAAUUUAAGCCCAUAGCUUUGUUGCAUAUAAAUGUAAACACAAGAAAUAUAAUGAUGAGAUUAGAUUAGAGUAAAAUAAAAAAUAAAGAGCGUAAUCAAAAAAUGUACAGGAUUAUGAAAAAAAUAUACAAAAAUAGUUGGCAAAAACAGUGCCCGAUAUGAUUGUUUGGUCAGUUGCAUAGCAACAGCGGCAUGGAUCGUGUCAUCGCGUGGUGUUUCUCGUAAAUUGGUGUUUCCUUGUCGUUGUCCGCCAAGGGGAAGUAUGUAAACGCCAACGGAGUGCAUCCGCCCGUAGAGUCUGAAGCCGGGCACAGAAAUACUGUGGUCCUAUGAGCCAGGUCUCCAAAGCUCAUUCUCAAGACAAUCUCCCUCUGGGUCCCAUCAAGCACACACAGUCCAUCCAUCCCGCCCCCAAAGACCUCGCAUUCCCUUGAGGACAGACGGCACCACUGACCCGAAGUUCCUUCUCCGCUCCUUCACCUCCGACUUCCAGUCUGGCAUCCCCAGGACUUCUCCUGAAGCUUAGCGGGACUCUCAGGCUUUUCUCCGGGCAGCUCCGGGGACAUGGACAGCGCUAGCAGGAUCCCAGGAACACAACAGCCGCUCCGCCGAACGCAACUAAUGACCAAUGACACAGCCAAAAACAAAAAUAAAUCCAGUCCGAUCCACUUUAUUUAUAUAGCACGAUUUUAACACAAGGUUUCCAAAGUGCUGCACAGUAAGGUAAAAACACAAUAAAUAGCACAAUAAAACAAUAAAGCACACAGGAUAAUGUAAUAAAAUAAGAUAAAAUCAAAUAAAAUAAGAUAAAAAUCAAAUAAACUAGGAUAAAAAUAAAUAAGAUAAAUAAAAUAGAGUGCACUGCUCACAAGAUGCAACACGCUACAAGGUCUCAAAAACCAGAGAGAAGAGGCGGGUUUUAAGAAACGAUUUAAAAUGAGACAGUGAGGAGUUCUGUCUAAUGUGCAGUGGCAAUCUAUUCCAUAGUUUUGGAGCUGCAACAGCAAAUGUUUGUUCACCUCUGAGUUUAAGCCUAGCUUUAGGCGCUGACAGGAGCAGCUGGUCAGCUGACCUGAAAAAGCAGCAUUUUGCACUAGUUGCAGACAAGCAAUGGAGGAGACACUAACCCCCAUGUAAAGUACAGUACAGUAAAGUAUAAACUCUUAGAAGCGCUGAUUCGGUGCUGUGCAAUGUUUUAAAACUGGACUGGAAAAUCUCAAGAUUAUUUUGUUCAUUUAAAAAGUCCAUAAGCUGAUAAAAGACACUCUUUCUCAGAUUCUAGAAAGGAAAGGCAAUUUUGAGAUUAGCCUGAAAUUUGCGAAAAUAGUAGGAUCCAGCCCGGGGUUUUUUUUAACAAAAGUUGCACAACGGCAUGGCAUGUUUAAAAUGAACAGGAACCACUCCAGAGGACAGAUUGCGAUUAAUAACUGUGAGAAAAGAUGGUCCAACAGUCUGGAAAGCCUCCUUAAAAAGUCGGGGAGGGACAAUUUCAUCUGCAGAACCUGAAGGUCUUCAAAAGACCAACAAUCUCCUGAACAAAGGGCAGGGUCACAGGCUCAAAUGUGUCCAACCCAGCAGAGCAAGGGGUGGACACUGAAGGGUCAGUGGCAGGAGGUGAAAUAAGUAUUCUGGUAGAAGUGAUUUUAUCAGUGAAGAAAUCUUUAACACAGCUUGGGAGGCCUCAAUUCCAACAGCCUGGUGCAUUCAAUCACUUUAAAGAAAACACAAGGCUUGUGGCAGUUUAACAGGCCAAUAUCAGAAAAAAUAUUUUCUUUUAGCCUCUUUCACAGUGGAUUGGUAAUGACCCCAGUAAUCCCUCAACAUUUGAAAAGACACUUGCAAUUUGUCCUUUUUCCACUUUUGCUCAGCUCUUCUACAGUCCUGCCUGGCAGCAUGGGUUGUUUCAUUCAACCAGGGCUCUGCCUCCGAUUUAGUUUUACGCUGUCUGGUCUUUAAUGGAGCAGCAAUGUCUAUGGCAGUUUGACAGGUGUCGAGAAACCAUGAGUUAAGAGCCUUUGUAUCAUCAUACACAGAUUCAGGUAUGAUGCAGUUUUGACUGAAGGCAUCUGAGAAUUGAGCAGCAGUGGAAGGGUUAAUAACCCGACACGUGCAAGGAGCAGCAGUGCGAGAUUUAAUUGGUUGACAGCAGGCAGCAGCUUCAAACAGUACAGGCAUAUGAUCUGAGAAAAAAAAGCAUCACAGAUCUCCAGGUUAAAAACAGGCAAACCAUGAGAUAAAACAAGAUCAAGUGUGUGACCACGUUCAUGUGUAGGCCCAAGUACAGACUGCACAAGAUUAAAAGAGUGAGUGACAUUUAAAAAGUCUAGCACCAAAGGAUUUUCAGGGCAACACACAUUAAUAUUACAAUCUUCAACGAUAUGGACCCGGUCAUACUUGAGCAUAAUAUCAGACAAGAAUACAGAAAAAUCUGUUAAAAAGUCUCUGUUGUAUUUGUUUAUCGGCAAAACAAAACUUAAUAAAACUUAUCUCCUUACGUCUACACUGGCAAUCAAAAUUAUUUAUUAUUAUUUUUCUGUAAUAAUGUCAACUUCACUGCUCAACAGUUGAAGGACUUUUUGUGGUGUCUGUAUCAUGAUACUAGAACACUUUUUCCACAAAAUAACUAUGGAAUUUCAACAAAAAACCUUAUGUAGCAGAAAACACACUGAUCAAAAUUAGAGAACAACAAUGACUGUAGCAUGGAAAAGGUCUCUGCUCUGAUGUGAUUUUGGUCCGCUCUUCUUCCAGUCUCCUCCACAGUUCAGUGACUGUAGUGGGUUUCUUGGCCAUAACUUUGUUAUACAGAAAAAUCUGUUAAAAAGUCUCUGUUGUAUUUAAGAGGCCGAUAAACCAUGGCACACAACAUCGUGUGAGAAUGCCCCAGCUCAAACAGACUCAGUUCAAAGCUGGUGAAAGACGGUGACAGCAAUAUCUGAUUGCAUUUAAAGUCACUCUUAAGAACAGUCGCAAUUCCUCCUCCUCAGACGUCUGAGGAGAAUUAAAAUAACAGGACUUGUCAGGUAAAAGUUCUGUAAAGACACUGGACUCACCAACACCCAGCCAAGUUUUGGAGAUAAAGAGGAAAUCCAGUUCCCAUGAUAUGAAGAAAUCCUUAAGGAUAGGAUUCAAGUGAUCUGGCACUGAUAAGACUAAACCUGGCAGGAGCUGGCGGGUCAGAGCGAACAGCUGACGAGGAGGCCUGAUACAGAGGCCACAGGACCCCCAGAUUCACUCUUCGCUAGUGGAGACAAGGAGAGCACGGUCCGCGAGGCUGGAACACCACAUCCGAGCCCGCCACCGAGACCAAACAGGCUGCAACGGGAACCAGGUAACAUCGAGAGAAGCACAGGCAAGGCCCAGCCCUAACUCCGCCUCGAUCAGGAUGUACCAGCCCAGCCCUCAGCCUCACAAGACAGCCGCUAUGCUUUCCCCGGCAUCAGUGCCAAAAUUCUGUUUUUCUAACCGCUCUAGAUCCUCAGCACUGUAGUAAACAGGUCUAGGGCGGGCUUACCAACAAAAUUUAUCUCCUUACGUCUAGUUAGUUUUACGAGCUGGCAUCUGGUAAAUGACCUUUUGAAUUUUAGUAUAGUAGACAGGUCUAGGAUGGACUUACCAUUAGGCAAACAGGAAAUUGCCUAGGGCCUCCAGAUUUCCAGGGGCCAACAAAUGUCACAUAAAAACUGAUAAAUAAAGUUUUCUUCAAUUUAAAGCAAUUAUUAUUGAGUUAGUCUUAAUUCACACCAGAGGACAUGGAAAGGUCAGGAGCCCACCUGCCUCCAAUCACCUGCAGAGAGGCCGAGGCCAAGGCCAGUACCGAGGAUGAGGACAUUUCCAGUUCCAAGUACCACAAAGACGUCUGCAUGCUCCCUCACGGAGCCAAAACUCUUGCCGAAUCUGAAAGAGCUUCUGGCCAAUUGUUGAAUCCUCUCUCUCGUUAAGCUCCCACACUCACCUUAUAUAUGGUUCUCAUCCCCAAGAACCCCCAUUCACAAACAAAACUUAUCUCCUUAUGUCUACACUGGCAAUCAAAAUUAGAGAACGAUUUAUAAACAACUGAUUUUUUCUGAAAUAAUGUCAUCUUCACUGCUCAACAGUUGAAGGACUUUUUGUCGUGUCUAUACCAUGAUACUAGAACACUUUUUCCACAAAAUAACUACGGAAUUUCAACAAAAAACAUUAUGUAGCAGAAAACACAAUGACUUCUCCACAGUUCAGUGACUGUAGUGGGUUUCUUGGCCAUAACUUUGUCACCAAGGAUUUUCUAGAGGUUCUCACUGGGUUGAGAUCAGGACUCUGGGCAGGCCAUGUCAUUAUUUCAGUGUUUUUCAGUUUCAAGGAACUGCUUUACCUGUUUUGCCUACAUGGAGCGUUGUCCUGCAUGAAUACUGCAGGCUGAUUGGGUGAUGAACGCAGGGAAGCAACCAUAUGUUGUUGAAGAAGGGUCUGAUAAACAUUUGCAUUCACUGUGCCAUGUAGCUGUAUAAGAGGCCCAACUCCUGCUACAGAAAACAUGCCCCAAACCAUGACACUUCCUCCUCCAAAUUUCACUGACUUCUUUACAGUUCAGUUUUUCUCCAGUUUGUCACCGCACAUAAUGUUUCCCAUCGGACCCAAAUAAAUUCAACUUGCUUUCAUCACUGAAGUGACCAAUUCUCCUCUGUUCACACAACAUGCUCCUCAGCAAAGCUUAGUCUAGCCUUUUGAUUCUUUCUGCUAAUGAGAGGUUUGGUCACAGCAGAAUGGGUUUUCAGUCCAAAUGCUCUUAAAUGUUGAGACACUGUAUGACGAGACAGAUCCUUACCCUGUUCAGCACUGAACUAGCGAGCAAUUCCAGCUGCAGUGUGGAAACGAUUGCCCAUUGAGAUCCUCCGCAGUAUCCUGUCCUCUCUUGCAUUUCUCUUCUGUGGACGACCAGCCUUCUUGAAUGAGUUUGUGAUGUUGUAAAGAUUCAAUAUUCUUGAAAUCACAGAUUUGGAACGACCAACUUGUCUUGCUAUGGAUGAUAUGCUCAUCCUUUUGGCCUUCAUCUGGACAAGCUGCUGCCGGAGGCUUUCAGUCAUUUUAGAACGGCCCACCAUCUUGCAGAGUCAGUGAAACUGGAAGUUAGGCUGCCAGUUAAAUAGGGGUUGACAGAUAAUCAAGGAAAAUAGCACCAGGUGCCAGAUUAACACCAAUAACUGGGAGGUAUCUGAAAGUGUUCUCUAAUUUUGAUCAGUGUGUUUUCUGCUACAUAAUGUUUUUUGUUGAAAUUCCGUAGUUAUUUUGUGGAAAAUGUUCUAGUAGCAUGGUAUAGACAUGACAAAAAGUCCUUCAACUGCUGAGCACUGAAGAUGACAUUAUUUCAGAAAAAAUCUGUUGUUUAUAAAUCGUUCUCUAAUUUUGAUCACCAGUGUAGUUAGUUUUACGAGCUGGCAUCUGGUAAAUGACCUUUUGACCUUUUGACGUUUAAACUUUAUACACACUUCAAACACAGGAAAGGGACAGAAGAGUAAAACAAGAAGAUAAUAUACUACAACACAUUUUCACUUGAGAAAAUACAUGAUGCUUUUGGUCCCUCUGAUUCAGUGGGCAAUUUGUUUACAGAUUUCUCUACAGAUUGGGCCCUGGGAUCUUGGUAUAAUUGAUGAUUCCCGUCCCUCUUACUUUCGGCAUUGUGCUGACAUUUUGCACUUUUACGCUGACUUGCAUGAAAGCUUUAAUGUAUAGGUGGAUUGGAGAUACAGUAUCUGACCAAGUAGGAAAGUACAUGCAGGUGACUCCUUUUUUUCACAUGUCAGAAGUAUGAAGAUAUGUUUUAAAUUAUGUCUCAGGGUAACAUGUUGGAUGUAAUUUUCUGAUACUUUGUAUAUUUUCUGAUCUUUAAAUGAUCAAAGGGGGGAAAUGUAAUGGAAAAUUACAUUUUUACUUCUCUCAUAGAUGCUGUCUGUAUUUGCUUUUGUGACCUUUUGGCCCACAUGAGUUCAUAACAAGUCAAAAUAAGUUCGGCAGAGGAUCACUGAAAGUUCAUAAUAAGUGUGACAUUACGUUAUAUUUUCUAUGUGCAGACUGCAGAUACAUUGCCUUACUUCACUUACACUUCCUCUUGAAGUCAACGUCGUCCUUAAAAGAAGGGAUUCAAACUAUGUUCAGAGGUACAUCCAUAAUUACAAAGAUAAAUUACAGCUGUAUAAAGUUAGCUUAGCAUGUUAGCACGUAUAAAGUGACCAAUCAGAAAUGCCCUCAUUGUGCCAAAACUCAGGAAAGCCAACUGUGUAGAAGGCAUAGAAAGAGACAGCGAGCACACAGAUAGACACCAUGAGAGCACAGAGAGUGACAGCGAGUGCGUAGAGAUGUGGUUUUUAUGUGUUUUUUGUUUGUUUGUUUGUUUUGGCAUUAAUGUAAUCCCAUACUAUGGUCGCUGCUUUCUCUAACUUAACGUUCCUCAAAAUGGAGUUGCUAUUUACCAGAGUUUGUUUCUCAGCAGGUGUGUCACUGAGUGGGGAAACCCGUUUUGAAUCGUGUAAGGCUUGGUGGUGCUUUGUCGACUGGGUAGGACUAUGCAUCCUUCGUCCCGUCACCUGGUUUACCGGCUGCUAGGGAGCUUCAGAGGGACAGCUAGCAGGACCUAUGUUAACAGGGGCAGCUACAGGGCGCUGGCUAGCCACUGGUUUUCCAUCGUGCGGAGUUGUGUUUCCAAUUCAGAAAUUCUCACCUCCAAAGCUACAUUAUCUUUAAGUAUGAUAACCGGAGAAACUUACGGGUUCAGUGUCUUGCUCAAGGACACUUCAGCAUAUGGCACAUUCUGAGGAUGACCUAAUAUAAGUGAUAUAGGAUAUAAUUGACAACCCGUACAACCACAAGACAAGGUUUUUGUGAUUUUAAAGAAGCUAAAACUAUCUACAAGCAAACACAGCAGCGCCAUAGAAGCAGGAAGUGACGUAAUUCACAUGACGAACGUAGCAACGUCAGCCUCACAAUCCCUCGUCCAUGAAUAUAGAACAACAUAGAACUGACUGCAAGAAUUCAUCUGAGAUACUUUGUUGUCUUUACUAUCUCACUCACAUUUUCAGAUGCUAUCAUCUGUGCAACGUUUCCCUGUUUACUAGUUACCUGGUAGCUUUUCCAUGCAACAACACUAUCCUUAUGCUGUCCUUAUGUGUUUGUGCCAUUUCAUGCUUGCCAAAGAUGACUAAAGCUUUCUUCCCGUUCGUACAACCACUACUAACCAAACUAUCUCAUCUCAUCUUCUAGUACUGCUUAUCCUGACUAAUGUCGCGGGGAUUGCUGGAGCCUAUCCCAGCUGUCAUUGGGAGAGAGGCAGGGUACACCCUGGACAGGUUACCAGUCUAUCGCAUGGCUAACAUAGAGACAAACAACCUUUCGCACUCACAUUCACACCUAGGGUCAAGUUAGGUUCACCAAUUAGCCUAACGAGCAUGUCUUUGGUGGUGGGAGGAACCCGGAGUACACAGAGAAAACCUGACCAAACUAUCAUAUUUGAUAUCUCUGCCAAACACUUCACAUGGGAUGCAGAAAGCUAUAUUCUGGUUAACUGAAUAUUCUAACCAGUUGUGCUUAUCAAAGCAGCUGUGGUGAAAUGCUCAUUUCUGCGUACCAAAACUAUCUUGUGGGUAGGACUUCAGUUUUACCUGUCUUUCUCACCUAAAUCAAACCAUGUAGUGGAGUGAGUUAUUGUAGCUACAUCAUUUCCCCUCCCUUGGCCUAUUUGCUCCCCAUCUCUCUCUGUUACAACUUUAUCUUCCUCUGCCUCUUGAUCCAUCUCUGAAUCUCUAUGACUUGAGCUUGCCAGUUGAUCUUUUUCUCCCUACGCAUCUCCUGCCUGCUCCUUCAAGUUGUUGGGUUCUAAAGGGGUUAAUAAGGCCUUCAGCCUGUGUAUAACCUUGGGAAGAAUCACGAAGAAUGUUACUUACGCUAUAUCACCAUAUAAGGAGUUGUCUUUUGCUUUGCUACAGCUUGCUUACAGAUUAGGACAUAUCACACCCUGAUAUCUCACUUGCUGGAAACCAGAUAAAGCUAACUGGCUACACAUAGAAAUUUCACUGACACAUGAGAGGCAGUACUCCUCCCCAUUGUCCUACAGCCGGGUUCUAGGUAGAAUAAGGUCACUGUACGUCCCUGAAGUGGGGCUUUUGGUUCUUUUUACCCCUAAGGUGAACUGACCGUAGCCUCAGCACUGAAAUCAAUAUCUAUUCUCUGUGUACCAAUUAAAUAUCCAAAACGUGAGAAAUUGUUUUGCGUGAUUUGUGCAUAGGUUAACUACCCUUUCCAAACGGUAUAAAGAUCCUGGGCUGAAGGAGAGGAAAAUAUCCUCCUUCGACAAAGUUACACUGAAAAGCAAUGAAUUCAAUGACCCAAAUAUUUUGGUUGUUUCUCCACUUUCUAUUUAUUACUCUCCUAAAUAUAAGCUCAAGUUAAAUUAGUCUUAUAUGGUGCACAUGGCCUACUAAUAUUUCACACUAAUAUUGAGUUCCAUAAAUUUCCAAGACUGUCUGCAUCACAAAUGACUCUAUCCUGUGAAAUCCUUCAGACGCACCUUUCCAGUAGAGGUCUCUCCCCUCUCACUCCCUGUGCUUCUCUGCUCUGUCUCCUAUAGGUCAAUAGGGGUGGUGGAGUGAUUAUUAUCAUUAUUAUUAUAAGUAGUAGUAGUAUUAUCCACUGAUGAUAAUCAUACAUCAUGUAAGUGAGCUCAGCUCCUGUUUCACAGUGUGCAUCCAUGCAUAAAGUGAGAAACACAACUGAUGUUCCAGAAGGAAGUUAUGGAGGACCAAUUCUGCCAUAAUAAAAAAUGAAUAAAUAAAUACAUGCCGUAAAUACUUAAAUAAAUACCUAAAUAUAUGCCAAUAGAUGCUAUUUAUUUAUCCUUUUAUUUAUUUAUUGAUGCAUGCACUUCAGCAUGCACAACGGAAUGUAAUGCAGAUGAGGGGGCUCUCCACACUGGCUGAACUUUGUGCCUACUGAUUGAUCAGCUGCACAUGCCUUGCUUUUCACAGGUAGCCAGGCAGUUUGAAUUGAAAUGCAAUGGCAGACAGGAGCUAAUAUAGACAUGCCGGUAAUAAACAGUAGAUGCCGCACUGACUGCUCCAGCUUGAGAAACGUCGCUGCCACCUUAUACCGGUCUAAACAAAGCCUCCAGCUGCAACUACUAUGUACUAAAGCACUAUACCAGAGCACUGUGCAGCUUCUCUUGUUAAAUCAGAAACCGAACAAAACAGGACACGAAGACUUAUUACAAGUAAGAUUGAACAUCUAUAUUGGUUGUAUUCAGUCAAUUCAAUAGUUACUGUCCUGUAAUAAUCUGUUCAAUCAUGGAUGACUAUAACACAGAUGUAGAUUACAACCGAUAUUAGAAUGCCGUUGUAGAAAUAAGCCUAGUGUGACUGGUAUAACACUGACACUGAGUAUUUUAAACAGGGUGGCACGGACAGAAUGAUUGUAUCCAUCUCUGACUAGUAAAAUAUUUCUCAUGUCACAAACCCACUCCACCUACUUUCAUAUAAAUAACAUUGUUUUUUGUUGGUUCAGAAUAAGUAUGUUAUAUAUGUAAAUAUGCUGUGAUAUGAUAUGAUACAGGUGAAGCCAGGAUCAAUUGUAGCUUCUGUUGAUUUCAAUCAGAGCCUCUGGUAGGGUUUAUGCUUUUCUAAUUACAAUGAAUUCUGAAAAUAUAUUUCAUAAUUUUUUAUGUACUGUAUCUCUUGUAUGUGUUUUCCCUACAAAGGGUAUGUAACAAUAAUCACCAGUUCUAGUCCAUCUUCUACUAUCUGAUGGUUCAGUGUCAACCAGGCAACAUGGCGACACAGGAUGACACUGUCUACAGUGGACAUGUCCUCUGUCAUUUGUCAUCAUUUCAGCCACUGUUUGUGAGUAGUACCGAGGAUGUUUUCUUGCUCAGGGAACACACUGAUAUAUACAUAAAAUAAAAUAAAUAAUAAACAAGACUGAUUAGAUAAGAUGAAAUGAGAAAGAUAUGCUGUACAUAGAAUAAAUAUUACACACACAUAUAUAUAUUUUCAGUUUGUUACAGAUAACAUUGUACAGAUGUAUUUACUAUCUAUAUAACAUUUACAGCGAUUGCAUCUGUGUUUAUGUGAAACAUCUCUUUGUAUGUGUGUGCGCUAUGUGAUACACUACAAACAUCACGUACCUGGACACAGACUCAAAAUAUCCCAUUACUGUUAAGCCUACUGUCUGCGAAGUAUGAAAUUACUCAUUCUCAAUGUAAACAGUCAUCCUGUGUGAUGUUUGCAGCAAAGAAAAUCGCAUCACAUUAAUUCUUUUUAUACAGGUGAGUGAAUGGAGCUGAUGACCAGUCCAAGAUGGUGGUCACACAGCUCGUCAGCUCCUACAGGGGGUAGCAGUCUAUGUGGCGUCUACUUUUUAUUAUGUCUGGGAUGUGUCUGGGAAUGCAGGUGACUUCAAACCACGAUGCCUUUGUUUCCCACCGCAGCUUGGGACUGAACAGUGGGACUGGCCAUCCUGCCUGUUGUGGUGCAAAAGAAUUGGAUGUGGCUGAUCACCUGCUUUUAAACUAGAGGGUUAAACCAUUUCCACAAGACGGGGAGCAAUACAUUAUAAUCAGUGUUAAUUUGAGUAUUUUGUGGGGAUGAUCUAUGCUAUUGCUACGUUGAUGAGUGUACGUAUUUAUGUAUAUAAAUAAUGUUGUCUUUUUGUUUUAGGUGGGGUUCUUGGGAUGUAAAUAUUAAGUGUUUAAUUAGAAUAUAUCCCCUGUAUAUAGAUCAGUCUUGUUAAGCAAGAGGAGGGUAUAAAAAGAAGCUAGUCCCCUUUGUUAAGGGAACGUGACUGGUGGUGGAGCUUAGUGUAAUUGCUGGAGCAUGUGAAAUUGUACGGUGUUCACUGAGAGGAAAUAAACAAAGAAAAAACUUUCCAUGGAAUUGA